AGCGAACGCUGGCGGCAGGCUUAACACAUGCAAGUCGAGCGGGCACUUUCGGGUGUCAGCGGCGGACGGGUGAGUAACGCGUGGGAACGUGCCCUCUGGUUCGGAAUAACUCAGGGAAACUUGAGCUAAUACCGGAUACGCCCUUUUGGGGAAAGGCUUGCUGCCGGAGGAUCGGCCCGCGUCUGAUUAGCUAGUUGGUGAGGUAACGGCUCACCAAGGCGACGAUCAGUAGCUGGUCUGAGAGGAUGAUCAGCCACACUGUGACUGAGACACGGCCCAGACUCCUACGGGAGGCAGCAGUGGGGAAUAUUGGACAAUGGGCGCAAGCCUGAUCCAGCCAUGCCGCGUGAGUGAUGAAGGCCUUAGGGUUGUAAAGCUCUUUUAUCCGGGACGAUAAUGACGGUACCGGAGGAAUAAGCCCCGGCUAACUUCGUG
rnacentral:rRNA from 1 species